CAGUCGCCGCGGUAAUACGUAGGUGGCAAGCGUUGUCCGGAACUAUUGGGCGUAAAGGGCUCGCAGGCGGUUUCUUAAGUCUGAUGUGAAAGCCCCCGGCUCAACCGGGGAGGGUCAUUGGAAACUGGGAAACUUGAGUGCAGAAGAGGAGAGUGGAAUUCCACGUGUAGCGGUGAAAUGCGUAGAGAUGUGGAGGAACACCAGUGGCGAAGGCGACUCUCUGGUCUGUAACUGACGCUGAGGAGCGAAAGCGUGGGGAGCGAACAGGAUUAGAUACCCGCGUAGUCCCUGUCUCUUAUAA
rnacentral:rRNA from 1 species